rnacentral:rRNA from 1 species
UACGUAGGGUGCGAGCGUUAAUCGGAAUACUGGGCGUAAAGCGUGCGCAGGCGGUUUUGUAGGCCAGAUGUGAAAUCCCCGGGCUUAACCUGGGAAUGGCAUUUGGGACUGCAAGGCUCGAGUGCGGCAGAGGAGACUGGAAUUCCUGGUGUAGCAGUGAAAUGCGUAGAUAUCAGGAGGAAUACCGAUGGCGAAGGCAGGUCUCUGGGCUGACACUGACGCUCAUGCACGAAAGCGUGGGAGCGAACAAG